rnacentral:rRNA from 1 species
AACGAACGCUGGCGGCGUGCCUAAUACAUGCAAGUCGAGCGAAUCACUGGGAGCUUGCUCCUGGUGGUUAGCGGCGGACGGGUGAGUAACACGUGGGCAACCUGCCUGUAAGACUGGGAUAACACCGGGAAACCGGUGCUAAUACCGGAUAAUCCUUUCUCUCUCAUGAGGGAAAGCUGAAAGUCGGUUUCGGCUGACACUUACAGAUGGGCCCGCGGCGCAUUAGCUAGUUGGUGAGGUAACGGCUCACCAAGGCGACGAUGCGUAGCCGACCUGAGAGGGUGAUCGGCCACACUGGGACUGAGACACGGCCCAGACUCCUACGGGAGGCAGCAGUAGGGAAUCUUCCACAAUGGACGAAAGUCUGAUGGAGCAACGCCGCGUGAGCGAUGAAGGCCUUCGGGUCGUAAAGCUCUGUUGUUAGGGAAGAACAAGUACCGGAGUAACUGCCGGUACCUUGACGGUACCUAACCAGAAAGCCACGGCUAACUACGUGCCAGCAGCCGCGGUAACAC